CAAAAAAAUCCGAUUGAGCUAGAACACAAAAAAAUCAUCAAAAAUGGCGUGCAGAAUUGCUCUCCGAACCGUCUUCUUAACCGAACCUCGGCUGCCUCUCUCCUUCAUUCACACCAAUUUCUCCAGUUUUAGGCCAAUUAAGAAAAUAUCUACAUCCAAUCCAAGCUGCGGUUGCCGAACAGCACCAAAUUCCAAGACCUACCACUUUUCGCGUUAUUGCUCGAACAAAGCGGAUUCAUCUCCAUCAGCCGACGAUUCCGAGCAAGGACCUCCUCAGGAAGCCGUUUUGAAGGCCAUCUCAGAAGUGUCAAAGGCAGAGGGAAGGGUGGGGCAAACUACUAAUGUGGUAAUUGGAGGUACAGUUGCUGAUGAUUCAACCAAUGAGUGGCUUGCUCUAGAUCAGAAGGUGAACUCUUAUCCCACAGUUAGAGGGUUCACGGCAAUUGGAACCGGAGGUAAUGAUUUUGUGCAAGCCAUGGUUGUUGCUGUUGAAUCAGUACUUCAGAUGCCAAUCCCGGAGGGUCAAGUGAAGCAGAAGAUAUCAUCUGGUGGCAAAUACGUAUCAGUAAACAUCGGACCCGUGCAAGUUAUUUCCAGUGAGCAGGUACAAGCGGUAUACAAUGCUAUGAGACAAGACGACAGGAUGAAGUAUUUUUUGUAAAACUAUUUUCAGUUGGAAUCUGUAUAGAAGGCUGGAUAUCCAAACUUGCAGAAAGGAACGCUGUGUGCAAUGAAAAAUAGAAGCGUAGAAUGUCUCUGUUUCACAUCAACACAGAAGAGCUCACUCGGCUGUGGUUUGCUAUGCCUGCAAGCAUUCAAGUGCGAGCAUGCCAUUACCUGACUCAAUUCUUCGAGGCGAGCCGUUGUAAGUUGUCAUCGGCCUGACCUAAUUGUGUCAUCUUUCCCAUCCCCAGCUUUCAAAAUCCACAGAGCAAUCUUUUUAGUUUUUAUUUUUCAAACAAAUUUUUCUAUUCACUCUUGUCUCUCUUAUUAACCAGACCUUUGGAUCCCAUGAUAUUGGGAGCCCAUACUCUCUCUUUUCCACUUGAGAUACUAUAUUUUUUUCUUUGGGAUGUCUCA